AUGAACGCUAGCUACAGGCUUAACACAUGCAAGUCGAGGGGCAUCAGGAAGAAAGCUUGCUUUCUUUGCUGGCGACCGGCGCACGGGUGAGUAACACGUAUCCAACCUGCCCUUUACUCGGGGAUAGCCUUUCGAAAGAAAGAUUAAUACCCGAUAGUAUAAUGAUUCCGCAUGGUUUCAUUAUUAAAGGAUUCCGGUAAAGGAUGGGGAUGCGUUCCAUUAGGUUGUUGGUGAGGUAACGGCCCACCAAGCCUUCGAUGGAUAGGGGUUCUGAGAGGAAGGUCCCCCACAUUGGAACUGAGACACGGUCCAAACUCCUACGGGAGGCAGCAGUGAGGAAUAUUGGUCAAUGGGCGCUAGCCUGAACCAGCCAAGUAGCGUGAAGGAUGAAGGCUCUAUGGGUCGUAAACUUCUUUUAUAUAAGAAUAAAGUGCAGUAUGUAUACUGUUUUGUAUGUAUUAUAUGAAUAAGGAUCGGCUAACUCCGUGCCAGCAGCCGCGGUAAUACGUAGGGGGCAAGCGUUGUCCGGAAUAAUUGGGCGUAAAGGGCGCGUAGGCGGCUCGGUAAGUCUGGAGUGAAAGUCCUGCUUUUAAGGUGGGAAUUGCUUUGGAUACUGUCGGGCUUGAGUGCAGGAGAGGUUAGUGGAAUUCCCAGUGUAGCGGUGAAAUGCGUAGAUAUUAGGAGGAACACCGGUGGCGAAGGCGACUUUCUGGACAAUAACUGACGUUGAGGCACGAAAGUGUGGGGAGCAAACAGGAUUAGAUACCCUGGUAGUCCACACAGUAAACGAUGAAUACUCGCUGUUUGCGAUAUACAGUAAGCGGCCAAGCGAAAGCAUUAAGUAUUCCACCUGGGGAGUACGCCGGCAACGGUAAAACUCAAAGGAAUUGACGGGGGCCCGCACAAGCGGAGGAACAUGUGGUUUAAUUCGAUGAUACGCGAGGAACCUUACCCGGGCUUAAAUUGCAGUGGAAUGAUGUGGAAACAUGUCAGUGAGCAAUCACCGCUGUGAAGGUGCUGCAUGGUUGUCGUCAGCUCGUGCCGUGAGGUGUCGGCUUAAGUGCCAUAACGAGCGCAACCCUUAUCUUUAGUUACUAACAGGUUAUGCUGAGGACUCUAGAGAGACUGCCGUCGUAAGAUGUGAGGAAGGUGGGGAUGACGUCAAAUCAGCACGGCCCUUACGUCCGGGGCUACACACGUGUUACAAUGGGGGGUACAGAAGGCAGCUAGCGGGUGACCGUAUGCUAAUCCCAAAAUCCUCUCUCAGUUCGGAUCGAAGUCUGCAACCCGACUUCGUGAAGCUGGAUUCGCUAGUAAUCGCGCAUCAGCCACGGCGCGGUGAAUACGUUCCCGGGCCUUGUACACACCGCCCGUCAAGCCAUGGGAGCCGGGGGUACCUGAAGUACGUAACCGCAAGGAUCGUCCUAGGGUAAAACUGGUGACUGGGGCU
rnacentral:rRNA from 1 species